rnacentral:rRNA from 1 species
GAUGAACGCUAGCGGCAGGCCUAACACAUGCAAGUCGAGGGAGAGGUUACCUUCGGGUAACUGAAACCGGCGCACGGGUGCGUAACGCGUAUACAAUCUGCCUUUCACAUAGGGAUAGCCCGAAGAAAUUUGGAUUAAUACCUAAUGGUAUAUAAGAGCGGCAUCGUUUUUAUAUUAAAGCUACGGUGGUGAAAGAUGAGUAUGCGUUCUAUUAGCUAGUUGGAGAGGUAACGGCUCCCCAAGGCGACGAUAGAUAGGGGUUCUGAGAGGGAUGUCCCCCACACUGGUACUGAGAUACGGACCAGACUCCUACGGGAGGCAGCAGUGAGGAAUAUUGGACAAUGGUCGGAAGACUGAUCCAGCCAUGCCGCGUGCAGGAUGAAGGUCCUAUGGAUUGUAAACUGCUUUUGUAAGGGAAGAAUAAGGAGUACGUGUACUUUGAUGACGGUACCUUACGAAUAAGCAUCGGCUAACUCCGUGCCAGCAGCCGCGGUAAUACGGAGGAUGCGAGCGUUAUCCGGAAUCAUUGGGUUUAAAGGGUCCGUAGGCGGGCUGAUAAGUCAGAGGUGAAAGCGCUUAGCUCAACUAAGCAACUGCCUUUGAAACUGUCAGUCUUGAAUGAUUGUGAAGUAGUUGGAAUGUGUAGUGUAGCGGUGAAAUGCUUAGAUAUUACACAGAACACCGAUAGCGAAGGCAUAUUACUAACAAUUUAUUGACGCUGAUGGACGAAAGCGUGGGGAGCGAACAGG